rnacentral:rRNA from 1 species
GACGAACGCUGACGGUGUGCUUUAGACAUGCAAGUCGAACGAGAAGGCCCUUCGGGGUUAGUAAAGUGGCGAACGGGUGAGUAACACGUGGGCAAUCUGCCCCUCGCAGGGGGCGAACCGGAGGAAACUCCGGCUAAUACCCGUAACGUUCAAAGGGAGGCAUCUCUCUUCGAAGAAAGGUAGCUUCGGCCAUCCGGCGAGGGAUGAGCCCGCGGUGCAUUAGCUAGUUGGUGGGGUAACGGCCUACCAAGGCGACGAUGCAUAGCUGGUCUGAGAGGAUGAUCAGCCACACUGGGACUGAGACACGGCCCAGACUCCUACGGGAGGCAGCAGUCGGGAAUCUUGCGCAAUGGGCGAAAGCCUGACGCAGCAACACCGUGUGUGUGAGGAAGGCCCUCGGGU